rnacentral:lncRNA from 1 species
CAGGUUUCUGUUUAUUCCUUGACGUAAGCAGCUUAAAAUGUAAAGCCCGACUCUGGGUUGAUUUAUUUACGGAUGUCUAAUUGUUUGAACCAGCCCACUGCUUGAACCUGACCAACAUCACGUGGCCUGCUUGUGGGUUCAGGUGACUUCUUGGUCCAGCAGCCAUCAGUGUGGGCCUGGGGAUACUACCUGCAGCUUCAGGGCUUACCUGGGGCCAUGCUAAGAGACUCUACUUCCUCUCUGAUUUCCAUCAUCUGAUCUGGCUUUCUUCUCGAGCAAUACAGAAGAGAGCGCUCUCUCAUCCCCAUUGCCCUGGCUACCACACCUCUAUCGAUACAGCUUAACUAAGGUCACUUUUUGGUAACUGGCUGUAUAACUCUUCUGGCUUGUAGGAGCUUAAGGAUAAUUAAAGCAAUGAAGGAGAGCAUUCACUCACUUUCCACGUGCCUUAGGCAUUGCGACAAUCUCUUCGGGUGGGAAUGAGAGAUGAAGUUGCCUGGGCCAGCCAGCGAGAGAGAAUGGGAUCUCAUUGGACAGUAUCGGAAGGCUAUGUAAGUGUUUGACAGCUCAUGCUCACAAGAAUGGCCAGUUCAGGUCCCUCUGCAUUGUGUCCUUGGGUCCCUGGCAUUUGAAAGGAGGAACAAGAUAUUAGGCUUAUUGUAAUGAAG